AUUUUGCUUUUACUUAGAGUGGACUGGAAUUUUCCAUCUGGGAUAAAUGGGGCCUGCAAAAAUGUUCUAAACAUGGAAAGAGUCAAUGCAGAUUCAGAGAAGAAGGUGGAGCAAGAUGGCAGAAUAAUUGUCCCUCCAAUAAGGACAUCAAGUUAACGACUACCUACACAGAAAAACAGCUUCAUAAGAACGAAAAUCAGAACUAAUUCGACUGUUGAUGCCCAUCGGACAAAUACUAUCAGGAACACAGGUAUUGUCAACAAAGUUAGAUAUAUU